rnacentral:rRNA from 1 species
CAUUCACGGAGAGUUUGAUCCUGGCUCAGGACGAACGCUGGCGGCGUGCUUAACACAUGCAAGUCGAACGAUGAAGCCCUUCGGGGUGGAUUAGU